AUACGCCAGAAGUCUACACUCCAACAGAGCCGGUCCUGCCCCACUUCUGCUCCACUAGCGCCCUAGCUCUGCUCCAAGGGACAAAACACGAAAUAAUUACAGUGCAAGAAUAUGUUCUGAGCACUGUGGAUUGUUUGCCUGUGGUUCUCUACCCUUCCUAAUGGCAGGUGUUUGAAGGCUUACUUUAGAGUCAGGCCUAAUAAAUAUGCUAAACGGCCUGGAGUCAGAAGGCACCAACCACAGCUGGCCAGCUGUUCUCAGCCCGGAUGUUAGGAGAAACCCGUAAGCACCUUGCAUCCACGUGCACACGUGCACACGCCUGUGUUCCGGCACGCAUCACACACUGCGAGGAUUUGGGGUAGCGCCCUAUCCCCACACUCACACCUGCCUCGCAGUGACAACUGAGGCGCCAUCCCAGCGAUCUUUGUCUUCCCCCUUGGAGGUGGAUCCUGUGAAUUUCCACAGAAAGCAGAAAAGAACUUCCCAGAGGGCCAAACGUGUAUAUUUUUGGAGCUGAAAGGCUUCAGGCCCUUUCCUAAGCGCAGUUAUGGAGAAGAUGUUCACUCACUCAAGCCUGGAGAAUUCUGAGUCCUGGUUCUGACUUCCUUGUAGCUGCUCAGAAUCACGUGUUCACUUGUUUGUCUAUAAGAUGGUAAAAGCCCAGCUCAGAAAAAAAGAAUACUUGUGCAAGCGAUGGGAGGAAACAAAGGCUCCCUGUGGAUAAAAGGCACUUAGAAAAGGAUCAUUCACCUGCCUCAGGAAAUGGGCUGCCGCUAAGCACCCAGUGAUCUAUACAUGGUUGACUCGCUGCUAAGGCCACCAUAGCUCUGCCCUCAAAGUAGAGAUGUGGACAACAGUAGGAGAGGGCUUCUGUUCCAAAAGUCUUCUCAAGGGAAAGUAGCUCCAAGAAGAAAUGUAACUUAUUUAAUGGGACAGUUAUACUAGUUUCAAGUCCUGAGUUAUUGGAACUCAGUUAACUAAGAAUCUAAUCGUCCGGGCUGAAAACUUGAGAAAGAUGGCAAUUCUUCAUCAGUUAUAGAACACGCAAUAUGGAAUAACUGCCAGAUCAUAGAUGCAUACAAAGAUGUGAUUAUUUCUUAAAUUAGGCAUCUCUGUGUAUAUUUAUGUUCAAAUUAUAGAGUGAUAGAACAAUCGGAUUACACAGAGGAGUUUCUUUCCAGGCACUACUCUCCGAGCUCCUGCUGUGCCAGACAGGGAUUUUGCCUCUGUGUCUGAGUUGCUAGGAAGUGAAAGCGCCUGAGAUGCUGCCUGCAGGUUUAAUUUUGCAAAGCAGGCAGCCAAUGGCCAGGAACCUGAUCUGUGUACCAUUAACCAGCAGGCUCCAUGCUCAUGUUCAGUCCCAGGGAACCACAGGCAUCCUCACCGUGUGUGGACACUGUGACAACUGCACUGGGUCACGGCUUUGCUCCCACAGAUGUUGAAAGCAAAAUGCUAUGCGUUCCUGUCAAGAGGUGAAGACGACUUGGGCCCAGGUACAGGAGAUAAGAUGGGUGGUGUCAAACAGACGUAUUAUUUAAAUUACUUUCUUAUGUGCACUCAAAUGGUGAAGCAUUUUGGGAUGAUGUCUUCAGCCUAAUCCUCGAGGUCAAGGUAGAUUUCAGAAGAUUCUAGAAUUACGGCAGAGAAAGGUUUGGAGAAAAAGUAGCAAUCUUCAAUCCCAGGAUAAAGAAGAUUAAGUCAGCAAGGAUGGGGGCUGAACUGUGGUUGGAAAGUUGUGGCGGCAGCCAUGAGGUCACUGGACGAGGGGUGAGGUCACGGGGGUCAGGGUGAGGUCACGGGGGUCAGGGUGAGAUCACUGUGGCCAGCCCCAGGGGCCAUCUGACAGCAAGCUCCAGGCCAAGGAAGGAAGGGCUAAGGGAGAAUGUGGCUACUGGAAAACUUUCAGUGACGUACCCAAUUUGCCUGUUUCUUUUGGACGUUAGAGCCUGUAAUUGCUCCUUGGCCAAAGCCAUUGGAACCACAGUGUUGGGUCUGGAUGGGACUUGAGAGCCUGUCUAAGCCACUGGUUCUUAAACUGUGUCAGGGUGACCCAGAGGGACAGGACUCAAGUCGCCAUGAGGUGAGAAGCUUUCCUCCAUGAAGCCUUCCUUCUGCCUUGGAGCCAGCUACCAGGGACUGAGACUGUGAGCCAAAAUAACCUCUCUGCAAACCUGGAAUCCCAAAAUACCUACUCCUGAGACAAACAGCAGCCAAGUCCCAACUGCAGGACUUCUACAAAUGCUCGUCUUCUCAAACCCGGUCCUCCAAGCACAGGGCAGUCUGCAAAGAUGGUGGCCCCGAGAAGCGUGUGAUGCUCGAGGAGUGUGGGAUUGUUACUGGAAUCUGCUGGCUUUUGAUUGUGCUUGGUGGCUGUACCAAAAGUUAUCAAGUGGCUCCUUUUAAAAGCGACUCUCGAAUGUUACCGAGUUCUGGGUUGCUCACCUCUCCUUCUGGAGUUAAGAGUUUAGGUUCUCAUCUCAAACAAAGAAUUGAACAAAAUGAGCAAAAAGCAGAGACAAUGUUUACUUAAAAAAGGUAAAAGUGAAGAGUGAGGAAGAAACUGGCCCUGCAGAGUGAGCCUGGGCGAAGUAAAAGAGGAAAGACAGCGAGAUAAAAGAAUACCCUGGAGAAAUCGGGGUAGGCUGUCAUGAGGAAGGCCACAAUAGCAAGCCUUUCUUGGUGUCUGCAUCCUUUUCUACUGUCCGAAUCUUGAGGAAACUCAUAUGAACUUCUACAUACAGAUCCCAAGAGGCGAUGCUAGAAUCCCACACCUCGGCUGACUUGAGGGCUAGGGCAUCGGAUUGAAAACAUGCUCGAGUUCUGGAGAGAAGUCCCUGCUCAGGCCUUCGGGAACUGUUCUGCACAUGUGGUCUGGGAUCUUGUAACUAACCGGUCAUGCCUACUUCCCCAGCCAGUUUAGUCACACCCUAACCUUCUAUAUCAGGACCAGAGUGGAUCUCCGAGUAGAAAGUGGCAUCCAGUAAAAAAUAAAGAACGCUGAGUAAAGUUUGAACUUCACUGAAUGUGUGAGUAUGACUUCAUUUGCCAGGAUAGAUGCACUAUAUCAGUGUAUGAUGUCACAGGAGACACUGACUGUGAGCCACACUGAAGCUCUCCAGACUCCACAAUUUGUUUUACAGACUUAAAGCUGUUCUAAAAACAAUAAAGCACAGUAAAACCUUUCAGUCAGACAUGUUAGAAUUCACUUUCCCACUCUCUGGUAGAGAAUAAUAUCACAAAAUGAUUAGUGAAUGAAACAGCAAUAAAAGAACAGGCCAUCAGAACAUCGAGAGAAGCAUUUGAGAGUC